UGGGGAAUAUUGGACAAUGGGCGCAAGCCUGAUCCAGCCAUGCCGCGUGAGUGAUGACGGCCUUCGGGUUGUAAAGCUCUUUUGUCCGGGAAGAUAAUGACUGUACCGGAAGAAUAAGCCCCGGCAAACUUCGUGCCAGCAGCCGCGGUAAUACGAAGGGGGCUAGCGUUGUUCGGAUUUACUGGGCGUAAAGCGCACGUAGGCGGCUCGUUAAGUCAGGGGUGAAAGCCUGGAGCUCAACUCCAGAACUGCCUUUGAUACUGGCGAGCUCGAGUAUGGAAGAGGUUUGUGGAACUCCGAGUGUAGAGGUGAAAUUCGUAGAUAUUCGGAAGAACACCAGUGGCGAAGGCGGCCAACUGGUCCAUUACUGACGCUGAGGUGCGAAAGCGUGGGGAGCAAACA
rnacentral:rRNA from 1 species